rnacentral:tRNA from 1 species
AUUUUUAAUAGUAUAUUCAGUACAAUUACCUUCCAAGUAAUAAGUCGCUUUUGCGAUCUAAAAGUA